AGCUCAGUGGUACAGCUCCCGCUUCGUUUGCGGGAAGACCUGGGUUCGAUUCCCGG
rfam:Toxocara canis C1711376, whole genome shotgun sequence.